GAUGAACGCUGGCGGCGUGCCUAAUACAUGCAAGUCGAGCGAACGGACGAGAAGCUUGCUUCUCUGAUGUUAGCGGCGGACGGGUGAGUAACACGUGGAUAACCUACCUAUAAGACUGGGAUAACUUCGGGAAACCGUAGCUAAUACCGGAUAAUAUUUUGAACCGCAUGGUUCAAAAGUGAAAGACGGUCUUGCUGUCACUUAUAGAUGGAUCCGCGCUGCAUUAGCUAGUUGGUAAGGUAACGGCUUACCAAGGCAACGAUGCAUAGCCGACCUGAGAGGGGGAUCGGCAAACCUGGAACUGAGAAACGGCCCAAACUCCUAGGGGAGGCAGCAGUAGGGAAUCUUCCGCAAUGGGCGAAAGCCUGACGGAGAAACGCCGCGUGAGUGAUGAAGGCCUUCGGAUCGUAAAACUCUGUUAUUAGGGAAGAACAAAUGUGUAAGUAACUGUGAACAUCUUGACGGUACCAAAUCAGAAAGCAACGGCUAACUACGU
rnacentral:rRNA from 1 species